CACGUAGGGGGCAAGCGUUGUCCGGAAUUAUUGGGCGUAAAGAGCUCGUAGGCGGUUUGGUAAGUCGGAUGUGAAAACUCAGGGCUCAACCCGGAGACGCCAUCCGAUACUGCUAUGACUAGAGUCCGGUAGAGGAGCGUGGAAUUCCCGGUGUAGCGGUGAAAUGCGCAGAUAUCGGGAGGAACACCAGCGGCGAAGGCGGCGCUCUGGGCCGGAACUGACGCUGAGGAGCGAAAGCGUGGGGAGCAAACAGG
rnacentral:misc_RNA from 1 species